CUGCUGGAAACGGCAGCUAAGACCGGAUAUGCCUUCGGGUGAAAUAUUUAUAGCCAAAAGAGGAGCUCGCGACCGAUUAGCUAGUUGGUGGGGUAAGAGCCUACCAAGGCUGCGAUCGGUAGCCGGUUUGAGAGGACGACCGGCCACACUGGGACUGAGACACGGCCCAGACUCCUACGGGAGGCAGCAGUGGGGAAUUUUCCGCAAUGGGCGAAAGCCUGACGGAGCAAUACCGCGUGAGGGAGGAAGGCUCUUGGGUCGUAAACCUCUUUUCUCAGGGAAGAAGCAAUGACGGUACCUGAGGAAUCAGCAUCGGCUAACUCCGUGCCAGCAGCCGCGGUAAUACGGAGGAUGCAAGCGUUAUCCGGAAUGAUUGGGCGUAAAGCGUCCGCAGGUGGCACAUCAAGUCUGCUGUCAAAGACCCCAGCUUAACUGGGAAGAGGCGGUGGAAACUGGUGAGCUAGAGAGCAAUAGGGGUAGAGGGAAUUCCCGGUGUAGCGGUGAAAUGCGUAGAGAUCGGGAAGAACACCAGUGGCGAAAGCGCUCUACUAGGUUGACUCUGACACUGAGGGACGAAAGCCACACC
rnacentral:rRNA from 1 species